GUGAAUUUAGGGUCGACUCUGCAAAGAGAAAGCCCGACUUACACUUUUUUUCAUACACCUGUGCAUUUGAAACCCUUUUUUAACACUUGUGUUAACCUAAAGUCAUUUGAAUCAAUGUUAAAACGAAAGUA
rnacentral:misc_RNA from 1 species